rnacentral:rRNA from 1 species
UACGUAGGGUGCGAGCGUUAAUCGGAAUUACUGGGCGUAAAGCGUGCGCAGGCGGUUUUGCAAGUCAGAUGUGAAAUCCCCGGGCUCAACCUGGGAACUGCGUUUGAAACUACAGGGCUAGAGUAUGGGAGAGGGAGGUAGAAUUCCACGUGUAGCAGUGAAAUGCGUAGAGAUGUGGAGGAAUACCAAUGGCGAAGGCAGCCUCCUGGCCUAAUACUGACGCUCAUGCACGAAAGCGUGGGGAGCAAACAGG